rnacentral:rRNA from 1 species
UGGGGAAUAUUGCACAAUGGGCGAAAGCCUGAUGCAGCGACGCCGCGUGAGGGAUGACGGCCUUCGGGUUGUAAACCUCUUUCAGUAGGGACGAAGCGCAAGUGACGGUACCUGCAGAAGAUGCACCGGCUAACUACGUGCCAGCAGCCGCGGUAAUACGUAGGGUGCGAGCGUUGUCCGGAAUUACUGGGCGUAAAGAGCUCGUAGGCGGUUUGUCACGUCGUCUGUGAAAUCCUAGGGCUUAACCCUGGACGUGCAGGCGAUACGGGCUGACUUGAGUACUACAGGGGAGACUGGAAUUUCUGGUGUAGCGGUGGAAUGCACAGAUAUCAGGAAGAACACCGAUGGCGAAGGCAGGUCUCUGGGUAGUAACUGACGCUGAGGAGCGAAAGCAUGGGUAGCGAACAGG